rnacentral:rRNA from 1 species
GAUGAACGCUGGCGGCGUGCCUAAUACAUGCAAGUCGAGCGAACGGACGAGAAGCUUGCUUUUCUGAUGUUAGCAGCGGACGGGUGAGUAACACGUGGAUAACCUACCUAUAAGACUGGGAUAACUUCGGGAAACCGGAGCUAAUACCGGAUAAUAUUUUGAACCGCAUGGUUCAAAAGUGAAAGACGGUCUUGCUGUCACUUAUAGAUGGAUCCGCGCUGCAUUAGCUAGUUGGUAAGGUAACGGCUUACCAAGGCAACGAUGCAUAGCCGACCUGAGAGGGUGAUCGGCCACACUGGAACUGAGACACGGUCCAGACUCCUACGGGAGGCAGCAGUAGGGAAUCUUCCGCAAUGGGCGAAAGCCUGACGGAGCAACGCCGCGUGAGUGAUGAAGGUCUUCGGAUCGUAAAACUCUGUUAUUAGGGAAGAACAUAUGUGUAAGUAACUGUGCACAUCUUGACGGUACCUAAUCAGAAAGCCACGGCUAACUACGUG